rnacentral:rRNA from 1 species
ACUCAAAUGAAUUGACGGGGACCCGCACAAGCGGUGGAGCGUGUGGUUUAAUUCGAUGGUAAGCGGAGAACCUCACCAGGACUUGACAUCCCACUGAAAGCCACUGGAAACAGAGGCCCUCUUCGGACAGUGGUGACAGGUGCUGCACGGUUGUCGUCAGCUCGUGCCGUGAGGCGUUCCGUUAAGUCGGGUAACGAGCGCAACCCUCAUUGCUAGUUGUAUUUUUCUAGCGAGACUGCCGCGGUUAACGCGGAGGAAGGUGGGGAUGACGUCAAAUCAGCGUGGCCCUUAUGUCCUGGGCGACACACGCGCUACAAUGGCCGGUACAAUGGGUUGCCAAAUCGCGAGAUGGAGCUAAUCCCAAAAAACCGGCCCCAGUUCGGAUUGGAGUCUGCAACUCGACUCCAUGAAGCCGGAAUCGCUAGUAAACGCGAAUCAGCCACGUCGCGUUGAAUACGUUCUCGGGUCUUGUACACACCGCCCGU